GGAGAGUUGCCGGAGUGGUUUAACGGAACAGUUUGCUAAACUGUCAGCUUUAUUUAUUAGCUACAUGGGUUCAAAUCCCAUACUCUCCG
rnacentral:tRNA from 1 species